rnacentral:tRNA from 1 species
UGGCUUAUAGCUCAAUGUGAGAGCACCGUCCUUUUAAGACGGGGGCUCCCGGUUCGAGUCCGGGUAGGCCAA